rnacentral:ncRNA from 1 species
UGUGACGAGUGUCAGCGUCAAGCCCCGGCUUGCUGACCGGCAACCCUCCUCCGCGGUGGGGUGCCCCGGGUGAAACACACGGCCGGGCCCGACCGGGACCCGGCAAGCGCGGGUC